UUUAGUUCGUUUCUUUCCCCUACAUUACUUGACCGUUUUUGUAAAACAACAGCACUCGAGGUCUGACAGUAUUUUACCAAGAAAUGCACAAAAUAUUCAAAAAGAAGGCCUAGAAAAUUUAAAUAUUGGACAAGAACUAUAGAAGGUACAGAGAAAUAAUAUACAGCAGAAAUAAUAGGCAAUGUAAAAUUUGCAGAAGCCAACUAAACCUAAAUGGUGAUCAGACAUCUCGGUUUUCAUGAUCAAUAGGUCAUUACUGAAGAGGAAACUUAAAGUUGAAAUUUAUUUACAUAGUGCAUAAUUGGAUUAAUUUGAAAUGGAAUGUGUGCUUUCCUGCAAAAAAGAAAUAGGAAAUUUCAACAUGUGAUAAUGACCAUAUAAAACAAAAUGGAGUUCUAUCAUAGAUACCCGAAAACACUAUUGCAUAAAAGCAACAACAUAUCUUAAUCAAAAGAAA